UUACUGGUGCCAACAUGAAAUAGAAAAGAAAAAGUAAUCUGAAAUAUAAUGAACAAAAGAUAUCAACAUUAAAGUUCCCUUGCAUAUUCAAAGUUGAUGAAGAAAAGGGAAGCCAACUACUUGUACUCAAUCUCUAGAUACAUCAGCUUGUAUGGUUUGAGCCAAAUAUUUCUAUUGUUCACUUUCCUUUCUUAUGAGAGUAUUCGUACAUUAG
rnacentral:lncRNA from 1 species